UUAACGUGUUUGUGUUGUAGAGGGCAGCCAGGGUGGGAGGACCUUUUACAUCCAACCUACACUGACUGCUUUACCAUGUUAUUUUACUUUAUUUUAUUUAUUUGUUUAUUUAAUUUUAUGUAUACAAAUAUUUUAUCGAUUUUACCUUUUAAUUUUAUUUAUUUUAUUUAAUAUCGUACCAUAAUUUUAUCCAUACAAAAUUUUUUUAUAAUCGUUUUUCAUUAUUUCUCAUAGGGAAGUCUAUUUACGUAAUAAUUUAUAAGGUAUGAGUGUGAGAGUGAGUGUGAGUGAAUGAAAAUAUGAAUGCUUGGAGUUACUCGUAAUUGCCGACUGGUAUCUUCUUGCUAGUUUCAUGCUGGAUGGGGGGCACCCCGGGUUGCCUCACCCACACAUGGGUUUCACGGGACGGUCGUCUUCACUGACCGGUCUUUUGCGAGGUGUGUGUGGGGUGGGGCAACUAGGGGGUCACUUAGUCUGCGGAACGCACGCGAAAAAUGCCAGGGGGAGUUAAGAGUAAGGUCGACGGGUCAGUGUAUAUACUCGCUAAGAGUGGUCCCGGACUCGUCGGCUGGAGAAAGAGGAGGUGAGUUUAGUUGGUAGGCGAUCCGGCACGGUGAAGCGUGGCGGAUUGAAUCCAACACACCUGGGACACCUUCCCAGACGGUCUUUAGAAGAUUCUCACCUCCAAAAAAAAAAA
rnacentral:lncRNA from 1 species